AGUGCUGUGUGUGAUGGGUGUGAGAGUGCUGUGUGUGAGAGUGCUGUGUGAUGUGUGUGAGAGUGCUGUGUGUGAUGUCUUUGAGUGUGCUGUGUGUGAUGGGUGUGAGAGUGCUGUGUGUGGGUGUGAGAGUGCUGUGUGUGAUGUGUGUGAGAGUGCUGUGUGUGAUGUCUGUGAGAGUGCUCUGUGUGAUGGGUGUGAGAGUGCUGCGUGUGAUGGGUGUGAGAGUGCUGUGUGUGAGAGUGUUGUGUGUGAUGGGUGUGGGGUGUGAGAGUGCUGUGUGUGAUGGGUGUAAGAGUGCUGUGUGUGAGAGUGUUGUGUGUGAUGGGUGUGAGAGAGUGCUGUG